GUGUAUCUAUCUAUUCAAAGGAACACCUUGAAUCUGCAUAGAAAGAUUGGAGAGUGAAAGUACACCUAUACAUUUUAAGUUAAAAUAUCAAGGUGUAUAUGUGUAUUUUGGAGGGUCUGCUUUAUUAUUUUCAAAUAAUUGACUGUCUGAAGGUAUCAACUAAGCCAGACAAGAGGGCUUUUGCUCUGAUCACAAACCUCAUGAAACUGAAGGUUGAACGUGAUGAAAAGAGAGCCAGUUCCUAUAUUGUGAGCUACCCUACAAAGGAAACCUCAUGGAAAGGAAGAAAGAGAAGCCUCAGACCAACAACUCAUGAGGAAUUGAGACCCUCAGUCCAACAGCUCUUGAAGAACUGAAUCCUGCCAACAAGCUGAGUGAGCUCAGAAGUGAACCUAUCCCCAGAUCCAGGCCUGGUUAUGUAUCCUGUGAUUUACAUGCAGAACUGCAGUAGUUCCAUCAAACCCUUGUUCAAGCAUUCAAAUGAAUUCAAAACUACUGCUUGGGAAGAUGACAACGACAAGAAGAAGAACAGCAACAACACUUUCUCCUUUUGCAGUGUACUGCCUGUAUACGAGUCAGACAACAACUUACCAUUUUUAAUUUCCUUAGUAAAAUACUAGUGAUGGUGUCUUCAUUUAAGAACUUAAGCAUCUCCUUGCAAUCAGCAGCACAGGGCACUUGCAUGGAAGGACUCCAGUCUGAAUUUGACUGUUAUACAUCGUUCAUUAAAAGUCCUGCUGAGAAAAUUGGUAUGUCAGUAUCAGAGAAGUUGAACCCUUUAUUUUUAUCAGAUUUUUAAGGCUUUAUCAUGACAUUGAAGCACACCAUGAGCUAGCCACCUACUGGAAUUUAUUACUCUGAUUCUCUAUAUAAGUGCCUUGAGAAAACUGCAAUUUAAAUUUACUCCUUAAACUUUGAAAUAAUGCCCAUAAAUAGAGCUAUAGUGAUAAGCUUUUGUAGAAUCAUUUUCAAAGACACCAUCAGUUUGUUGUUCACUAUACAUACAUUAUGAUAAAUUUUUUUUUCAGUUCAACACUAUGAAAUAGGCAUAUUUCUCUGGUAAACCGGUACAUGUUCUUUUACUGAACAAUAAGAAUGAUGUAACAUACUAACUUUCUCAUUUUGCUUUGGCUGCCGGGAAAUAUGUUUAUUUUCUGAGCAGUUAUAGUAGCUACUCUCAGCCUAAGUUUGUUACUAUAUCUCUUUUUGGCUCCAUAUUUUAGUACUUGUUUAAUUAAUUUUCUUUUUAUUUAUUUGGCUUUUAUAUUGUUUUGGUGCCUUUAUAGUUCAAACUAUCACAUUUUAGGGAGUUAGGUGGUGAAAUGCUGCCCCUUUAACAUUUGA